UACGAAGGGGGCUAGCGUUGCUCGGAAUCACUGGGCGUAAAGGGUGCGUAGGCGGGUCUUUAAGUCAGGGUGAAAUCCUGGAGCUCAACUCCAGAACUGCCUUUGAUACUGAAGAUCUUGAGUUCGGGAGAGGUGAGUGGAACUGCGAGUGUAGAGGUGAAAUUCGUAGAUAUUCGGAAGAACACCAGUGGCGAAGGCGGACUUACUGGACACAUAUUGACGCUGAGGUGCGAAAGCGUGGGGAGCAAACAGG
rnacentral:rRNA from 1 species